UGUAACAGUAAAGCAAAGCCAGAACAGAGGUUUGUGCGCCAAAGGUAUAGAUUACUGAAAGUCAAGUGAAAUACAGUAAAGCAAAGACAGAACUGAGGUUCGCGCACCAAAGGUAUAGUUUACUGAUGGUCAAGUGAAAUACAAUAAAGCAAAGCCAGAACAGAGGUUUGCGCACCAAAGGUAUAGUUUACUGAAGGUCAAGUGAAAUACAGUAAAGCAAAGCCAGAACUGAGGUUUUCUCACCAAAGGUAUAGCUUACUGAAGGCCAAGUGAAAUACAGUAAAGGAAAGCCAGAACUGAGGUUUGUGCGCCAAAGGUAUAGUUUACUGAAGGUCAAGUGAAAUACAAUAAAGCAAAGCCAGAACUGAGAUUCGCAUGGCAAAGGUAUAGUUUACUGAAGGUCAAGUGAAA